UUUGUUUCAACACAAGAAAUGAAAAGAAUUGUAACUAUCGAAUAUGCAUACGAUUCGUACAUAGUGAUAAAACAAGCCAGUUUAUUGUACUUUCGUAAUCAUUAGAUACGGUUUUAGCUAAUUAUCUCAAACUCUAAAGUUAAUGGGUCACUACGUAGGUCAUCAAAAUAUGUAUAGUAUACUAGAUAGUAUAUCAGUCGGGCUUCGCGCGAAUAUUUUACGGGUAAUUACUAAAUCAAUGUGCUGUCCAAAUUUAAAUUUUCGAUGGCGUUUUGAAUCGCAACUGAACUUUACAUUUGACUUUCAAUCAAAGUUACUUCAUGAUAAAAAAUUUCCAAAAUUUAAUUGAAAAAAAUUUAAAUAUGGUAUAUGAUGACCCUCAAUUACUGUCACGUAUUUUGUGGUCAAACGAAGCUACAUUUAGUAGUGAUGGUACGGUUAACUGGCAUAAUAUGCACUAUUGGCCACAGAAUAAUCCACGCUAGAUGGAAGAAGUUCAGUAUCAGGGGCGAUGGUCGGUGAAUGUAUGGUGUGGUAUUGUAGAUGGUCAGAAAAUUGGACCUCUUAUUUUUGACAACGCAAUUAACGGGGAACGCUACCUAAAUUUUAUAAGGGAUAAAUUACCAUUUCUUCUAGAAGAUAUAACUCGUGGGUCUAUGUUGUUUCAGCACGAUGGGUGUCUAACGCAUUUCUCCAGACAAGAUAGACAAUUUUUAGAUAAUGCUUUCCCUGAUAGAAGGAUAGGACGUGGAGGCCUAUUAUUUUGGCCAGCCAGGUCACCAGACUUAACCGUCUUAGAUUUCUAUCUCUGGGGCCGGAUUAAACACCUUGUUUGUGCAAUUAGACCCAUUACAAGAGAUAACAUGAUCAAGACGCAGUUUCCCGGUGACAGCAUAAGUAAUAUUGACAUAAUGAUUGGAACUAUUAUUAAUAGAACAAAGAAAGGGAAUUUCGAGGAGUCAAAAAAUUUUAAAAUCCGUUCAGUCAAACCGGAGUAAUUUAUGUUUAAAAGAAAAUGCUUAAAAUUUACCCAUUUCUUAAGAUAUUUCGUAAUACGAAAAAGAUAUCGACAUGCGGUUUUCGCUAUUCUGUUGCUAAUUUAGUCUACUUUUAUAUUCCUUAAUUAAAACUGCAUGUUUCCAUUUAACAUUUUUCAAGGCUAGCUAGAUUUAAAAAAAUAAAUAGCGUCCUCUAGCGUAUACGUUACUCAUUAGGUUGCUUCGAAAUUAUAACUCUUACAUUGGUAGAAAGGAGCUCUCUUCAAAAAGACUAAGUUUGCAUAGAUAGGUUAAGUAGAACUUCCCCCCACCUCUUAUUUGAAGAGAUAGACUAAAACUUGUAAAAUCAAAUAUACGUUGAAUUUUUUGAAGAAUACGAUAAUCAUAGUUUAAAUGCAUCUUCAUUAGGCAAUAUUUGUAAAUUAUUCAUUUUAUAAUUUUUGGUAUUCAAUUAUGCCCUAUAGUGGUGGACCUAAAACUCUGUAAAAAAUUUCCAGGUUUUUCUCGAGGUCACUUUUUUUAUAAUUUUUUUCCCAAAGCUGUACUAUAAACGGUUGCCGAUAUAUGGCCGAGAGCCAUUCUUAUUGGGACACUCGGUACAUGACAUAUUAUUAAGAAUUGGAAUAUACAGAUGAUGUAUGCGGUCAUACAAAAUGAUAUAAGUAUUAAAAUAAGAACGGAAAUGAAGAAAAUGAUGAGAAACAUAGAAGGAAAUGAAUAUUACCAAAUUUAUGGAAAUAAUUAAAUUAUUAUUUUCAGAGUGAAGAAAGACUAAAAAUGUGGGUCCAUUGUUACAGAAAUCAAGCAUAAUCAAUAUGGGAAUAGAAAUGAAUUUUUAAAGUAUGAUAUAUUAAGUAAAAAAUGUGGUUUUAGGUAUAUAGCUUAUUAUAUCAGAAAAAAUUGUAGAUGUGGAAGAAGAUUAUUGAUGUCGAAAGACCAAUUAUUAGUAAUUGCCACAAAAGCUUACUAUGGAAAUUAAGAACAAAGCAGAAGAUAUUGAGAACAACAUAGAAAUAAUUGAGUUGGAGGUAUUUAAGAGUGUCGAAGAGGGUGUUGUAAUGUACCGACGAAAAAGAUUUAACAAGAAAUAAGUCUUCCAAACUUUAAUUCGCUACCCAGAUGAUGAUGAAUAUUUCAAGAAGAACAUCACAAUAGCCCAUUGCUUCUCACAGAUGAAAAAGAAAUUUGAUAAUUGUAGAUUUGAAUGAAAAACUUGGAAAUGUCCAAAGUGAGAACUUUAAUUCAGCAUAUAAAAAAUUUUGACUGGGAUUCUUCUAAUGAUACCCAACCCCGUAAAAUAAAAGGAAUAGAUAAACAUAUUACCUGAAUAGGAAAUUUAAGGAUUCUAAUAUAUUUUUCAAUUACUACACAAUUAAAUACAGUGGAGUCCCGAUAAUUCGAACUUGGAUAAUCCAAAUCCAAUCCAAAAAUAAUUAGUGUAUUAAUAAAAGUUACAUUAUCUUUGGAAUAUAGUAAAGUGUAAUGAACAAAACAGAACAAUAUUCUAAACUAUACUGGUAUAAAAAAAACGAAGACUUCUUUCAUGCGGCAAAGUUUCGUCCACCAACCUCAUAAUCUGAGUUUAAAUACUCAAAUUCCAAUUCAAUAUUUUUCUUUAAUUGGUUUUCAAAUUCCACAUCUUCUUGAAUAUUAUCAGUAUUACUACUACAAUGCAAUAUGCCAGUAGAAUCCAAUCUAAUAAUAUUCUCUGAAUCCCCUGAUUUACUUCUUGGUGGAUUAAAAGUAUCUUAAAAGUAUUUUUAAAUUGAAGUGAUUAUUGUUGAAUCCUCCUCUACUUCUAAUAGCAUCAAAAAACAUUUCCAAGUGAUCUUGCGAAAAUUUAUAAGUAAGCACAUAUUUAAUAUUUUUAGAAUCAACAAAACCAAAGACACAUUCUAUGCAUACCAAAAAUCUCAAAAAACCAGUUUUUCUUCCAAAAUCUAGAAUGUGAUCUCCAUUUUAUUUUAAUGAAAAUAUGUAAUUUUUUAUUUCAUUCAAUCUAUAAAAAAUAAUAUAUUUUGUUGCUGUUUUUUAAAUAUGUAUGUUGCCAAUCUAUUAAGAGAGUUAAAAAUAUCAAAUAAAUCAUUAAAUUGAAACAAA